CCGACAAGCCACGUUUAAUGAGCAACAGGGAUUGACCAUGUCAGAGAGCUGAGAGUUUAACUCUCGCUCCAGCUGACCUCUUUGGCCUCCAACCCCGGGCAGAGGGAGAAAGACAGGGGAAAAACUAGGUCUUGGGGGAUUUGGCAUAGCUUUGUGCAAAGUGCUCAAGGUUUGACCAAAGAGCAAAGGUGAGUGCUGAACUCGAACUUCAUUCUGGAAAGCAAAGGCCUACACAGCUGUCCACAUCUGGACCAUGAGAAGGGCUUGAGAAGGCACUGGGACCAGGAAAGCAACUGGAUAGAGAACCGGAGAACUCAAGGGGAGUGGCUGAGAGCAUUUCUUUGCUCUUGCAAAGAAAUUAUUUCUCACACUGAGAUCUUACUCCAGGGCUGAUGUCUGAAGUCUGCAACAGCUGGAAUGAAGAUGAAAUAAGGAUAUUCUCAGAAGAAAAAAAAAUAGAGUGAAGAGAGCUUAGCCCUUGCAAAUGUUAAAGGGGAUUUUCAGAAGACAAAUACUUCCAGAAGGAAGCCCAGAACAUCAAGGAUGAAGGAAGAACAGAGAAACGGGCUGCCGAAAUAUCUUUCUCUAGAGCUGCCACAACAACAGAAAUUACUUGUCCUGCAUCCUUGGAUACCAGGAGUUGACCCAAGCCAUGCUUCCUCUGAAGGCUUGAGAGGCUAGUCUGCCCUUGCCUCUUGCAGUUUUCGAAGGCUCCAGACAUUCUUUGGCUGUGGCAAAAUCACAGCCACGUCAGCUUCUGUCUCCAUGUGCCCUUAUCCUCCACCUACUGUCCCCCACCCACUUAUAAGAAUCAUUGUCAUUGAGUUUAGGACUUGACAGAUAAUCCAGAAUUACAUCAUUUUGAGAUCUUUAGCAGGAUGAUUUUUGCUUUUACACGAGUCUUUUGUUCCCAAAUAAAGUUAUAACGACUCGUUCCGAGUGGACUUGCCUUUUGAAUGGUAUGGUUAUGGGUGGGUAGCAUUUAACCUACUGGUUAUGUAGUAAAUGUAUAACAACA